rnacentral:lncRNA from 1 species
AUUUUCUAUUGUGAGAUGCAAUAUUUUCUACAACCGUUCUAUAUUAACGGAGAAAUAAGUCAAAAUGCAUGUCAAAAUGACGAAUUGAGUGAACCUUGCCUCGAAAUUGUUUAAUUUCUCGUUAAAUUGUUCACAUUGUACGGAAAGAAAGGUACGGGAAGAUAGAUAUUGACACGGAGAUUGCAAAUUUAGUUAUUAUGAGCAUCUCCAUAAUUGUAUCUCUGUGUAUGGAACGAAAGAAAUGGGUCAUGUCAAAAUGGAACUGGCCGGUUUCGUCAAUGUAUACAACCCGGUUUCGUCAUAGAUUUCAAAAUGCAUAACCCGGUUUGGUCAAAUAAAAAAAAUCAUAAUCGCAUUACAUUAUAAUUGAUUAUUUAACUUCAGCGUUCAAAAGGAGUUUUGUGGGUCGUUGGAAAACAAGUUCGUUCACCGGACAACGGCUUAUUAUUUAUAUGAGUCUCAGAUUCAAAUAAAUAAUAAGCAAAAACUUGAAUUCCUACUCUUAUAGAACACAAAUAUUUUAAUUUACUUUGCAUUCCGAAAUUUUUUAACAGCAUAUUGAGAUUAAAGCUCUCUAAAUAUGCGUUUUCUAUAUGAGUUAUGGGAAAAUAUGUUGAACAUGUUU